AGCUCCAAUAGCGUAUAUUAAAGUUGUUGCAGUUAAAAAGCUCGUAGUUGAAAUUUGGGCUCGCGCGGCUUCGGUCUGCCAGGGAUGGUGUGCACUGAGCUGCGCGGCCUUCCGCCUGGUUUGCGGCUUGCUGCUCUUAACUGAGUGGCAAGAUCGCUCCAGGCCGUUUACUUUGAAAAAAUUAGAGUGCUCAAAGCAGGCGAGUGCGCCUUGAAUAGAUUAGCAUGGGAUAAUGAAAUAGGGCUCGACGCGCUAUUUUGUUGGUUUCUAGCGCGUGAGCAAUGAUUAAUAGAGGCGGUCGGGGGCAUUCAUAUUCUGCCGCUAGAGGUGAAAUUCUUGGAUCGGCGGAAGAUGCACUACUGCGAAAGCAUUUGCCAAGGACGCCCUCA
rnacentral:rRNA from 1 species